rnacentral:rRNA from 1 species
ACUGCUCAGUAACACGUGGCUAAUCUGCCCUUGGGAUAGGAACAACCCCGGGAAACUGGGGCUAAUUCCCAAUAGGCGAAGAACUCUGGAAUGAGUCUUCACCAGAAAAGACGUUUACGUUAUGCUCGUAGGCGUCGCCCAAGGAUGAGGCCGCGACCGAUCAGGUUGUUGGUGAGGUAAUGGCUCACCAAGCCUUUUACCGGUGCGGGCCGUGAGAGCGGGAGCCCGGAGAUGGGCACUGAGACAAGGGCCCAGGCCCUACGGGGCGCAGCAGUCGCGAAAACUUUGCAAUACACGAAAGUGUGACAGGGCUAUCCCGAGUGCCAUCCGCUGAGGAAGGCUUUUACCCAGUCUAGAACGCUGGGGGAAUAAGGAGAGGGCAAGUCUGGUGUCAGCCGCCGCGGUAAUACCAGCUCUUCGAGUGGUGUGGAUGUUUAUUGGGCCUAAAGCAUCCGUAGCUGGCUAAGUUAGUCCCCUGUUAAAUCCACCGAAUUAAUCGUUGGAUUGCGGGGGAUACUGCUUGGCUAGGGGACGAGAGAGGCAGACGGUAUUUCCGGGGUAGGGGUGAAAUCCUAUAAUCCCGGGAAGACCACCAGUGGCGAAGGCUGUCUGCUAGAACGCGCCCGACGGUGAGGGAUGAAAGCUGGGGGAGCGAACCGGAUUAGAUACCCGGGUAGUCCCAGCUGUAAACGAUGCAGGCUAGGUGCUUGGACGGCCACGUGCCGUUCUAGUGCCGCAGGGAAGCUGUUAAGCCUGCCGCCUGGGGAGUACGAUCGCAAGAUUGAAACUUAAAGGAAUUGGCGGGGGAGCA